CCUACGGGUGGCAGCAGUCGGGAAUAUUGCGCAAUGGAGGAAACUCUGACGCAGUGACGCCGCGUAUAGGAAGAAGGUUUUCGGAUUGGAAACUCUCGUUGUUAGGGAAGAUAAAAGACUGUACCUAAGGACGAAGCCCCGGCUAACUAUGUGCCAGCAGCCGCGGUAAUAGAUAGGGGGCAAGUGUUAUCCGGAAUUAUUGGGUGUAAAGGGUGCGUAGACGGGAGAACAAGUUGGUUGUGAAAUCACUGGGCUAAACUGAGGAACUGCAACCAAAACUAUUCUCCUUGAGUGUCGGAGAGGAAAGUGGAAUUCCUGGUGUAGCGGUGAAAUGCGUAGAUAUGAGGAGGAACACCAGUGGCGAAGGCGACUUUCUGGACGAUAACUGACGUUGAGGCACGAAAGUGUGGGGAGCAAACAGGAUUAGAUACCCUUGUAGUC
rnacentral:rRNA from 1 species